AACAUAACAGCAGAUAGGCAAUGGUCAUACCACCAAGUCUGCCUGGAUCCCUAUCCUUAAUGGUUUUAUGAGCUGAGAUAGACACUAGGAAAGGAACUUUGAAGAUUUUGUGAAAUUUCUUGCUUAAAAUCUCAAGAACCAGAAUUUUCUCCAAAGCUCAAUAUGUCACUUCAUUUGUCACAAUGUUCAAAGGCUUCUAUGAUUUCUCCACAGCUCUGAGGCCAAGAGAAGACAGCCAUGCCUUGAUCUAAAGAAAUACAAGGGGCUAGCCAGCUAAAAAGAUAAUCUCACUAAAACCUCCAACUCUCUUCUUUUAUUAUUGCUUGUUAAUUAUGAGCCUUCACUAUCUGAUAUAAUUUUAAUCUGCAGAGACUAGCAAGAGGUUUGACUAUGAGCUUAGAGCCCAGGGAAGGAAACAGACAAGUAAAGGCAUGAACACUAAUGGAUCAAGUGCUUUAAUCAAGACCAUGUGGGAUGAAGGCUAGAGUAUGGCAGCCUUUCUUAAAUCUGGGAGUCCAAGAUAGGUUUGAGCUGAAAUUGAAGAUGGAGGGGGGAGAGACAUAGGGAUGUUAGCCAUAUGGAAAUUGCACCUGUGGUAACAGAGAGGUGUAACCCCCCUCACUACCUGCCAUCUUGCCACCCUGUCAUCUUGAGUCCACCCAUAGCAUCUUAGCACUAAUAUCAUAUUAUAUGAUGAGCCUAUUUCCCAUGAUCCCUUCUUGAAAAGGUUGGGAUGACUAAGGUGGGUGUGUCUGUCACUCUGAGACAGCACAGCAUAUUCUGAGUCGAGUAAUAGGACACAUUCACACUUGGGAGUCCCCAUCGCUGACUGAUAGUAGCCUAUGCACGUGGCAUGUCUCCUCCUGCUGUCAAAUAAGAGGUAUUAUAAUUUUUUUACACAUCAUGCAACUCUGACCAACCACAUUUGAGUGAUGGAGACUCUGUGGGUCUUGUUCUUUUAGUCUCCCUGCCUCACAUUUAUUAAGGUAACAGCUGAACAAAGCUAUGGUGAUUGGACCCAAGUGUUGACAGGUAUUCAGACUCGGAAUAAAACUGGGGCUCAACUGGGUGCAUCCAACCUCAGCAGGCUUGUUUGUGGCAAAAUAAACUUUGCUACUGCCACAAAGAACCGGAAAUCCAAAAUGAGGAGAGGCCUUUUUUUAUUUCAUUCAUUUCAAACCACAAGAUCCGGCUUUUCUUAAACACUGGGAGAGCUCAGGUUUCACGCCAUGGCCUACAGCUCUCAACAUUUUUUUACCAAGAAAACAGCUCUAGCUGAUGGAAUACUGUGGUUUAUAUCACCAAACAACCCUUCCUAGAAAACACUGAGCCUUGGGGCUGCCCCUAGGAAAACCCCUCCAUGAGAUGCUUACUCACAUCCAAAAGAACUGUCUUCACACUUUACACAGGGUAGAAACGGGGGGCUUAUAGCCUCAUCCACACACGUGGCUGGCUCGGUGACAUUAAACAAUGCUCUACCUUUCAAGGGACAACUGAAGAAUGGCUAAACAUGUGCUGUUCAAAUAAUCUCUAGCAUGUUGUUUAGAUUUGUUCUUAAUUAAACAUCUUCCAUUUAAAAAUAAAUCUCUCUAUUCUGACUCUAUCCAACGUUCUAAUAAAUCAUACUAUCAAAAAAGCCAUUUGUUUCAUUUCCAGCAUGGUAUAGGAAAUGGAAUGGGCCUGAAAGUCACUUCAUGUGGAUUGAGAUAUCUGAUUUAUUAGGUCCUCCAGGGAGCCUUUCCUGGGCAGGGCACGCUCACAGCCAUUCUGAAGGGUUCACAUUGGCCAGUUAAACUAUUUGCUGUCAAUUUACCAAACUUUACAUUUUAUUCUUUCAUAGUCUGCCUGUUAUGUUUUGGUUGUUAGUGAAAAUUAGAGAAUCCAUACUGAUUCCUUAUC
rnacentral:lncRNA from 1 species